rnacentral:lncRNA from 1 species
AAAUUUCUUUCUUUUAUUCAUCUAUGUAAAAGGCUAUCUAUGAGUGUAACAGAAUCUCGUAUUGGCAUACAUUUACAUUUUGCCUAUGUAUGAACUACUAUCUAAGGCUACUACAAAGUUUCUUGUCAAAAUAUAAUGCAUGGUUAUCAUUUCGACUCAAUAAAAUAUCAAACUUUCCUACUUCUCUCUAAGUCUACUGUGUACAUCUUGGAGUACUACUUAUUUAUUUAGGCCCAGACUUUAGCUAUAAACAUAUUCAAUUUCUACUUAAAUGACUUAUGCGCACACUUUGACACGCCCUUUGAUUUCCUCUAUAUGCAUAACUGCCCAACGCGUUGCUCCCUUAGCGUAUCCCUGGCAUCGUCUCUCGGUGCAUUUUCCUUUAUAGACGUGAAAAUAGAAAAAAAUUUUGUAAGUCUGUAAGAAUUUAGUGAGCUAAACCUUAAUAUAUUUUUUUUCAUUCAUUCUACAUUGCAUUUUUUUUGCGCAUCAUUGGGGUGUUUCUUGACCUUACUACCUUUUUUGGCGAGUACAAUACUGAGGCUACCAUCUUUCUUUCUUCAGAACAAUUCUCCUUCUUUUAUGCGUAUUAUACUUAACAUCUCUUUACCUUUUGUAUCAUUUCUUAAAUCUUAUCUUUACAUAUCCUUAACUUCUUCAUUUACCUUAUUAUCAGACUUAAUAACUUAUUUCAUACUCACUAGUCUUAUCAUUAUUUAUAGGCGGGGUAGACUACACCCAAUACUUAUAUCAAAAUUUGCCCAUAUCUUCCUUACUUUAGUACACUCUCUAUUUUUACUCAUAACUCAUAUUUUUGCCUCGCCACAUACUAUAGCACACACUAGCCUUUCUAUUCCUCCAUUGUAACUAUACGAGGUUCGUCAUUCAUUCAGUAUCCACCUAAAGGCGUUAUAUUCAGAUGGUCAUCAUGAGACCCAUUCUUCAUAUUCCACCACGAAGGCGUUCCUUUAACAGAGAUGGCCACAAAAACAUCCUUUUAACAGAGGUAGCCACAAAGGCAUCCUUUUAACUGAGAUCGCCA